UGAAACCGUUCGGGGGUAAACGGACAGAGCCCGUGAAUCCGGGCGGCGGAAUUCAGAAUUGGUCGGGUGCGUCGACGAGGCGCGGUCGAACGGUUUGAUGUUUCCGUCGUCGAAGCGGACGUCGCGACCCGUUCGACGUCGGUCCUCGUCGCCUUCUCUCUCUAUAGAGAGGGGACGGCGGAGGAGCCGCGAACGAGUUCGUUGCGCGCGCGUGCGACCCGUUUUUGGUCCGUUCGUCCUUGUGGCGGACGGGGUGUACGACGAGUCGUUUGGUGCGCGCGGCGAAGUCGCGGAUUUCUUUGAUCGGCUGGUCGGACGGUAUGCGUGUACGGUGGGCGGCGGUUACCUGCUGUGCUCGCGAGAGUCUGUAGUGUUUCCGCACGUUACCGGUCGGCGACGAUUUCUUCGGGCCU
rnacentral:rRNA from 1 species